rnacentral:rRNA from 1 species
GUGGGUAGUUUGACUGGGGCGGUCUCCUCCCAAAGAGUAACGGAGGAGCACGAAGGUUAGCUAAUCCUGGUCGGACAUCAGGAGGUUAGUGCAAUGGCAUAAGCUAGCUUGACUGCGAGAGUGACGGCUCGAGCAGGUGCGAAAGCAGGUCAUAGUGAUCCGGUGGUUCUGAAUGGAAGGGCCAUCGCUCAACGGAUAAAAGGUACUCCGGGGAUAACAGGCUGAUACCGCCCAAGAGUUCAUAUCGACGGCGGUGUUUGGCACCUCGAUGUCGGCUCAUCACAUCCUGGGGCUGAAGUAGGUCCCAAGGGUAUGGCUGUUCGCCAUUUAAAGUGGUACGCGAGCUGGGUUUAGAACGUCGUGAGACAGUUCGGUCCCUAUCUGCCGUGGGCGCUGGAGAAUUGAGGGGGGCUGCUCCUAGUACGAGAGGACCGGAGUGGACGCAUCACUGGUGUUCGGGUUGUCAUGCCAAUGGCACUGCCCGGUAGCUAAAUGCGGAAAAGAUAAGUGCUGAAAGCAUCUAAGCACGAAACUUGCCCCGAGAUGAGUUCUCCCUGACCCUUUAAGGGUCCUGAAGGAA